UCGAACUUGCGCUGGUACCUGCCACUUAGCUGUGAAAUGAUGACAUAAAAGAACAUAUGCGCUGACACAUCAAUGGGUGGACACACCAAAUGGACCAAUGGACACUGCGAUUCACUCCUCUCUCUCUCUCUCUCUCUCCAUCUCCCACUCUCUGUGUCUGUCUCUCUGGACUAAUAGGCACAAGCGUAACCAGGCAAGGACUGCAGGCAGUCUACAGUUGUGUUUGGUUAUUGACAGCUCUUAACUAGCGAUGGGCAUGAAGAUUACCUAGCAUGCACAAGGAAGGUGGAUGUGGCAGACUGGUGGCCAAGUGCCAGAGCAAGUGUACAAUGGCCAAGUGCGUAUCUUGACUUGGUCGAGUCGGGCGCAAAAAUCGCAAAAAAUCAAAAAUAAUUGCCAACACCGGGCGACGGCUUGAGAGAUGCGUAUGGUGUGAUUAUAUUGAAUUUUUGAUACGCGCUGGCCAAAAGGGCUUGGAACGGUGGCAACAACGACGACGACGACGACGACAUUGGCGACAUUGACAGGAAGAGGCCAAGUGCUUACAAGUGGACAGUGGGACAGUGAAUGGUGCUCGGUCGGUCGUCGAUUGUCAGUCGUUGGGAGAAGUGUCGAGUAACUCGCUUAAAUGAUGUGCUGAUAAGGCGCACAUAACUGUGUAAAAUAUGAUGGGGAUUUCAUCUCGUCCUCCUCCCUUUGUGCAUCACUACUACUCAUAGCAUUCGUCAUAUUGUUGUUCUCCGCAGGGAUUUAGCACACCGUAUAUUUGGCCACAGAGCGGAAAUUGUGGCAAAUAUGACGCGAAUUUCUGCUUAAUGAGCAGGUGGUUAAUGAAUUUCUUAACCGAAUGAGUAGGGAAGCUAUGGAGUUGAAAAAGUAGGUUAGCGGUGAAUGGGCAGAUCCUUUAAUUAAUUUAUAAAGAGAAAUGUUUUUUUUUUGGUAUUAUGACAAAAUGCAUGGAGCAAUCGCCUUUAAUUGGCUAUAAUUCGAAGGUAUGAAUACUUAGCUGGUGAAUAUAAUUUAAUUUAUAAAAUCCAGAGGAACAUCUGGAAGAAGAUGCACAGGAGGCGGACGAGGCUGGGCUUCAUUACAAAAACCAGUUGUUAACGAGAGAAAUGGUUGCAAAAAGUGGAGGGAAAAAAAGAAUUUAAUGAAUUUAAAAAAUAAAUUAAUGA